GCACUGCUGAGGAAUCCCACAACAGGACGAAACGGCCGUCCAGCGC
rnacentral:hammerhead_ribozyme from 1 species